rnacentral:piRNA from 1 species
UGGAUUUUCGUGUUGAUUGCUGAGU